AGAGGGCUUAGAUUUAGAUUUGGUUAUAAUGUUCUCAGAUCUAUUGGUGUCGAUUGUGUUUCUCAGUUACGGUUAGGUUUAGUUUUCUGUCAAAAAAGUUAGGGUUUGAUGUCUGAUUUUGAUUUUUUUUUUACUAAAUUUUGAUGUUGUUUUUAUAUUCUGUGUUUGAUAUGAUCAUAGAUAUUAGUAUAGUUUAAUUAAAUAAUACUACUAAUAUAGUUAAUUAGUUCAGCUUUUAUUAAGUUUUUUUAAUCUUUGAAUUGUUAAGUUGGACUUUACCGAUUUAAGUGAAUAUUAUCUAUUAUGGAUUCAAUUUAUAUCUAAUCAUUUUGUCAUUUGAAAAACUAAUAUUAGAGUUUUUCAAAUGACAAAAGGACUACGUAUCAAUCGUAUCCACUAUCCACAAUUGAUAAUAUUUUUGGGCCUAUAGACCAAUAAAAUCCGGCAUAACAAUUCAAAGAUUAAAACUCAA
rnacentral:lncRNA from 1 species